GGAAAAAAGAAUUUCACAGAUCUGAGCAAAUCUCCCCAUAGUCACAGUAAGAAAGUUCAUCCUAAGAAAUAUGGUCGUGAUUCAAGCUGAGACCUUAGCGUUCCAGUAUUGAUUCGGACUAUUAGAAGAUUGACAAAGGAGAAGGUACAAAUGGCUUCUGAAGUUUCAAGCAUGCUACGAAAUCAAGUUGCUGAAAGGGCUUCUGCUAAGGAAGAAGCCAGCAUAUUACAGGCAGAACUAGAUUCACAGACACAAAGAUUAGAGACAG